AGAGAAAGCAUCAUGUUCCCUAAACAAUA
rnacentral:piRNA from 1 species